GCUAAUCUGCGAUAAGCGUCGGUAAGGUGAUAUGAACCGUUAUAACCGGCGAUUUCCGAAUGGGGAAACCCAGUGUGAUUCGACACACUAUCAUUAACUGAAUCCAUAGGUUAAUGAGGCGAACCGGGGGAACUGAAACAUCUAAGUACCCCGAGGAAAAGAAAUCAACCGAGAUUCCCCCAGUAGCGGCGAGCGAACGGGGAGCAGCCCAGAGCCUGAAUCAGUGUGUGUGUUAGUGGAAGCGUCUGGAAAGGCGCGCGAUACAGGGUGACAGCCCCGUACACAAAAAUGCACAUACUGUGAGCUCGAUGAGUAGGGCGGGACACGUGGUAUCCUGUCUGAAUAUGGGGGGACCAUCCUCCAAGGCUAAAUACUCCUGACUGACCGAUAGUGAACCAGUACCGUGAGGGAAAGGCGAAAAGAACCCCGGCGAGGGGAGUGAAAAAGAACCUGAAACCGUGUACGUACAAGCAGUGGGAGCCUCUUUAUGGGGUGACUGCGUACCUUUUGUAUAAUGGGUCAGCGACUUAUAUUCUGUAGCAAGGUUAACCGAAUAGGGGAGCCGAAG
rnacentral:rRNA from 1 species